GGGUUGGACCUUCCAGCAGUGCGAAAGGGCAAGGAAUCAAUCAGCCUGAUGUGGAAAUGGCGGGAACUAGGUACCCAGUUAGAGAGCGUAAACGCCCUGGCGAAUGGUGGCGAAACGAACCUGGUCGCACUGUCACUGGUCGCGUUAACGCUGCUUUCUCUGCUGGUAUUCCUGAGCCUAAUUCGUUUGAGGAAGCAAUUGCUAGUCCACAUGCAGACGACUGGCGGCGUGCGAUGGACGAGGAGAUCGCCGCCCAGAUGGCUAACAGUACUUGGGAGCUGAAG
rnacentral:lncRNA from 1 species